AUAUUGCACAAUGGGGGAAACCCUGAUGCAGCGACGCCGCGUGAGCGAAGAAGUAUUUCGGUAUGUAAAGCUCUAUCAGCAGGGAAGANNAUGACGGUACCUGACUAAGAAGCCCCGGCUAACUACGUGCCAGCAGCCGCGGUAAUACGUAGGGGGCAAGCGUUAUCCGGAUUUACUGGGUGUAAAGGGAGCGUAGACGGCAAGGCAAGUCUGAUGUGAAAACCCAGGGCUUAACCCUGGGACUGCAUUGGAAACUGUCUGGCUCGAGUGCCGGAGAGGUAAGCGGAAUUCCUAGUGUAGCGGUGAAAUGCGUAGAUAUUAGGAAGAACACCAGUGGCGAAGGCGGCUUACUGGACGGUAACUGACGUUGAGGCUCGAAAGCGUGGGGAGCAAACAGG
rnacentral:rRNA from 1 species